rnacentral:rRNA from 1 species
UACGAAGGGGGCUAGCGUUGCUCGGAAUCACUGGGCGUAAAGCGCACGUAGGCGGUCUUUUAAGUCAGGGGUGAAAUCCUGGAGCUCAACUCCAGAACUGCCUUUGAUACUGGGAGACUUGAGUCCGGGAGAGGUGAGUGGAACUGCGAGUGUAGAGGUGAAAUUCGUAGAUAUUCGCAAGAACACCAGUGGCGAAGGCGGCUCACUGGCCCGGUACUGACGCUGAGGUGUGAAAGCGUGGGGAGCAAACAGG